AUUGAACGCUGGCGGCAUGCUUUACACAUGCAAGUCGAACGGCAGCGCGGGCUUCGGCCUGGCGGCGAGUGGCGAACGGGUGAGUAAUACAUCGGAACGUGCCCAGUCGUGGGGGCUAGCUCGGCGAAAGCCGGCUUAAUACCGCAUACGACCUGAGGGUGAAAGCGGGGGAUCUUCGGACCUCGCGCUAUUGGAGCGGCCGAUGGCAGAUUAGCUAGUUGGUGGGGUAAAGGCCUACCAAGGCGACGAUCUGUAGCUGGUCUGAGAGGACGACCUGCCACACUGGAACUGAGACACGGCCCAGACUCCUACGGGAGGCAGCAGUGGGGAAUUUUGGACAAUGGGCGAAAGCCUGAUCCAGCAAUGCCGCGUGUGUGAUGAAGGCCUUCGGGUUGUAAAGCACUUUUGGCGGGAACGAAAAGGACUGUGCCAAUACCACGGUUCGAUGACGGUACCCGCAGAAUAAGCACCGGCUAACUACGUG
rnacentral:rRNA from 1 species